rnacentral:rRNA from 1 species
CAGUAGCCACGGUAAUACGAAGGGUGCAAGCGUUACUCGGAAUUACUGGGCGUAAAGCGUGCGUAGGUGGUGGUUUAAGUCCGUUGUGAAAGCCCUGGGCUCAACCUGGGAAUUGCAGUGGAUACUGGAUCACUAGAGUGUGGUAGAGGAUAGUGGAAUUUCCGGUGUAGCAGUGAAAUGCGUAGAGAUCGGAAGGAACAUCUGUGGCGAAGGCGACUAUCUGGGCCAACACUGACACUGAGGCACGAAAGCGUGGGGAGCAAACAGGAUUAGAUACCCCUGUAGUCCCUGUCUCUUAUAC